rnacentral:tRNA from 1 species
UCCUUAGUGGUGUAGUGGUCAGCACGCUCGGCGCGUAUUCGAGAGGUCCGUGGUUCGAAUCCCGGCGAGGGCA